AGCAAGAAUAUAUUCCUUAAUGCCAUAUUUUAAAGAGAACAAAGAUUCUUUUUCAUCUAUAAUAUUUGAACUCAAAUUAAGAAUACAAAAUACAUUUAAAUAAUCAUCACUGGCACCGUUCUUAUUCUUUGCUCAAUAUUGUCGACUAUAAUAGGAACCAACUUUGUUAUCUCUGUGCGAGGAACUGUGUGAAAUAUUUUUACUUGGAUUAAAAAAUCUAGCUCGCACAACUCCGUAAAGUGGGCUAUAGGUUAUUCUUGUUUUGUAAAUGAGGAAACAGACAUCACAGGGGAGAGUGACCGGCCCAAGACCACACACCUCGGCAGUGUCUGAGCCCACCCUCUUAGCUGCUUCACUACAGCCUCCUGCCAUGGUCAAGCUCAAGAGUUGGAUCAGACAGUCAGCACUGACUGAAGUGGAGAAGGAGUGCUGUUGACAUUCCCAUGGUCAGAAGUACCUUUUCCAAUGGCCUGUAACUAGGUGUGGAAUUUUGUUAUUAAAGAUUUCUUUUAUUUGUCA